GACGAACGCUGGCGGCGUGCUUAACACAUGCAAGUCGAACGGAAAGGCCCUGCUUUUGCGGGGUGCUCGAGUGGCGAACGGGUGAGUAACACGUGAGUAACCUGCCCUUGACUUUGGGAUAACUUCAGGAAACUGGGGCUAAUACCGGAUAGGAGCUCCUGCUGCACGGUGGGGGUUGGAAAGUUUCGGCGGUUGGGGAUGGACUCGCGGCUUAUCAGCUUGUUGGUGGGGUAGUGGCUUACCAAGGCUUUGACGGGUAGCCGGCCUGGGAGGGUGACCGGCCACAUUGGGACUGAGAUACGGCCCAGACUCCUACGGGAGGCAGCAGUGGGGAAUAUUGCACAAUGGGCGGAAGCCUGAUGCAGCAACGCCGCGUGCGGGAUGACGGCCUUCGGGUUGUAAACCGCUUUCGCCUGUGACGAAGCGUGAGUGACGGUAAUGGGUAAAGAAGCACCGGCUAACUACGUG
rnacentral:rRNA from 1 species